CGAGCGGUAGCACAAGGGAGCUUGCUCCCUGGGUGACGAGCGGCGGACGGGUGAGUAAUGUCUGGGAAACUGCCUGAUGGAGGGGGAUAACUACUGGAAACGGUAGCUAAUACCGCAUAACGUCGCAAGACCAAAGAGGGGGACCUUCGGGCCUCUUGCCAUCAGAUGUGCCCAGAUGGGAUUAGCUAGUAGGUGGGGUAAUGGCUCACCUAGGCGACGAUCCCUAGCUGGUCUGAGAGGAUGACCAGCCACACUGGAACUGAGACACGGUCCAGACUCCUACGGGAGGCAGCAGUGGGGAAUAUUGCACAAUGGGCGCAAGCCUGAUGCAGCCAUGCCGCGUGUGUGAAGAAGGCCUUCGGGUUGUAAAGCACUUUCAGCGAGGAGGAAGGUGGUGAGCUUAAUACGUUCAUCAAUUGACGUUACUCGCAGAAGAAGCACCGGCUAACUCCGUGCCAGCAGCCGCGGUAAUACGGAGGGUGCAAGCGUU
rnacentral:rRNA from 1 species